rnacentral:tRNA from 1 species
ACCUGGGUGGCUCAGUCGGUUAAGCAUCUGAUUUUGGCUCAGGUCAUGAUCUUGUAGUUUGUGGGUUCAAGCCCCACAUCAGGCU